CCUACGGGUGGCAGCAGUCGAGAAUCAUUCACAAUGGGGGAAACCCUGAUGGUGCGACGCCGCGUGGGGGAAUGAAGGUCUUCGGAUUGUAAACCCCUGUCAUGUGGGAGCAAAUUAAAAAGAUAGUACCACAAGAGGAAGAGCCGGCGAACUCUGUGCCAGCAGCCGCGGUAAUACAGAGGUCUCAAGCGUUGUGCGGAAUCACUGGGCGUAAAGGGUGCGUAGGCUGUUUCGUAAGUCGUGUGUGAAAGGCGCGGGCUCAACCCGCGGACGGCACCUGAUAAUGGGAGACUAGAGUAAUGGAGGGGGAAGCGGAAUUCUCGGUGUAGCAGUGAAAUGCGUAGAUAUCGAGAGGAACACUCGUGGCGAAGGCGGGUUCCUGGACAUUAACUGACGCUGAGGCACGAAGGCCAGGGGAGCGAAAGGGAUUAGAUACCCCUGUAGUC
rnacentral:rRNA from 1 species